AGAAGACUGGGCUCUGAAUUUAAACUAUUUGAUGAAGUGGGAGCUCCUGGCAUGAGGAGGAGUGGCCAUUUGUCAUCAUCAGGAAAAGCUUCCCAGCAGACAGGAAUUUGGAGAGAUGAUAGUGCUUCAGCUUCCUUCAGUGCUGGGUGA
rnacentral:lncRNA from 1 species